CCAAAGCUGUGCGUUGCCAUAGAAACAGCUUAGUUUACUUCCUGCGUCACCGGACGCUGUUGAUGGAAAGGCGCACCGUGAGUGGAGGACGUUCCCACUGCCUGAAGAAUGAUUGUAGCUGCACUUCUGUGAGAUUAUAAAUAUUCCACGGAGGGUAACGGAACUACGGGAGAAUGGAAGAUUUCUGCAGGUCCCAAGGUUAGGAGCAGGUUAGCUGGAUGGUGCUGGCUUGGGGUCUCUCCUGCACUUGAAGUUGGCCACGGGUGGCAAUGAUGGCAAUGAUCUGAAGACCUGAUGGCGGCUGGAGUAUCCACUGCCAAGGUGGUUCACUGACAGAGCUGGCAAGUUGGUGCAGGCUGCCGGCAAGAGGCCUUUGUUCCUUACCCUCAUGGGUGUGUCCACAGUGCUGCUGAAGUGUCCUCAUGCCGAAGCAGCUGUCAUCCCUCACACUGAGAGAUUUGAGAGAGGAAGGCAGAAGCUGCAAUGUCUUUUAUCACUUAGCCGUGGAAGUCCCACUCCAUCAUUGCCACAAUAACCUUCUGGUUACAUAGGUUAGUCCUACUCAGUGUGGCGUAGACUACGCAGAAGCAUUAAUACUAGAAAGUGAGAAUCAUUUGGGCCACCUUGGAGGCUGGAUACCACAUUCUGUUUUUCACUCAUCAGGAGACACUUUUGGUUAGCAUCUAAAGAUACUCCUAGGGAAAAAAAGUUAAUUUUGGCUCAAAUUCAAAUUGAUCAGCAUAGCCAAAUUGCAUGAGCUACAUAGCUUUAUUAAACAGUAGGUCAGGUGUGGUGGCUCACACCUGUAAUCCCAGCACUUUGGGAGGCUGAGCUGGGU